UCUUUAGUAGCUCAGAGGUAGAGCAGACGGCUGUUAACCGUUUUGACGGUGGUUCAAAUCCAUCUUAAAGAG
rnacentral:tRNA from 1 species